GACGUAGGGCGCGAGCGUUGUCCGGAUUUAUUGGGCGUAAAGAGCUCGUAGGCGGCUUGUCGCGUCGAAUGUGAAAUUUUAGGGCUCAACCCUGACAUUGCAUUCGAUACGGGCGGGCUGGAGUUCGGUAGGGGAGACUGGAAUUCCUGGUGUAGCGGUGAAAUGCGCAGAUAUCAGGAGGAACACCGGUGGCGAAGGCGGGUCUCUGGGCCGAUACUGACGCUGAGGAGCGAAAGCGUGGGGAGCGAACAGG
rnacentral:rRNA from 1 species